UACGGAGGAUCCAAGCGUUAUCCGGAAUCAUUGGGUUUAAAGGGUCCGUAGGUGGACGAUUAAGUCGGGGGUGAAAGUCUGCAGCUCAACUGUAGAAUUGCCCUUGAUACUGGUUGUCUUGAAUCAUUGUGAAGUGGUUAGAAUAUGUAGUGUAGCGGUGAAAUGCAUAGAUAUUACAUAGAAUACCAAUUGCGAAGGCAUAUCACUAACAAUGUAUUGCCUCUGAUUGACGAAAGCGUGGGUAGCGAACAGG
rnacentral:rRNA from 1 species